GCCAGCUGAACACUGGGCGACCGUGGAAGGUGGAUGGCGCUCUGCCACUUCUCCGAGCUGUACAGCAGCUGAACGAGACCAAUUAUAUUGAUAUUGGCAUGCACACACUCGGAGAGAUUCAUUUGCGGGAGCACCUCUGGUUUGAUGGCAUCAAACAACUUAGAAUGUGCGACGCAUUGCCUUAGAAAUCGGCAGGACCAGAUAUCUUUGGAAUUGUGGUAAGUUUUUAUUUUUGUUUAAUAUUUUUUUACCC